GAUGAACGCUAGCUACAGGCUUAACACAUGCAAGUCGAGGGGUAACGAGAGGAAAGCUUGCUUUCCUUGUCGACGACCGGCGCACGGGUGAGUAACGCGUAUCCAACCUGCCCCCAACUAGGGAAUAACCUUGCGAAAGUAAGACUAAUACCCUAUAAUUUCCUCAGAUGUCAUCUGACGAGGAAUAAAGAUUUAUCGGUUGUGGAUGGGGAUGCGUCUGUUUAGCUUGUUGGCGGGGUAACGGCCCACCAAGGCAGCGAUCAGUAGGGGUUGUGAGAGGAAGGUCCCCCACAUUGGAACUGAGACACGGUCCAAACUCCUACGGGAGGCAGCAGUGAGGAAUAUUGGUCAAUGGGCGGAAGCCUGAACCAGCCAAGUAGCGUGCAGGAUGACGGCCCUAUGGGUUGUAAACUGCUUUUAUACAGGAAUAAAGUUAGCCACGUGUGGUUAUUUGUAGGUACUGUAUGAAUAAGGACCGGCUAAUUCCGUGCCAGCCGCCGCAGUAA
rnacentral:rRNA from 1 species